GCCAGGCCUCACUCAUGAUCAGCUGAGCACCAGCAGGCAGGUGAGAAGAGCCUUGAGUGUGGAGCAGGUCAACCAGCAACAGAGCCAGGGAGACCCACGGAGUCCACAGAGAAUGGUAACAACGGCAGCAGCACCCAGAGACUGGCUCCCAGUGAGCUAAGCCCAGCCGCGACCCUUGGAUGUGCCAGCUGAUUUAAUACUCAUGAUAAACCCAGUAGAUGUGCAUAUGUCACUUUGAAAAAGCAAAACUGGAUGUGGCUGAUGCCAAAGUGACCUGCUCCAGAAGAGCUGCUAACAGAACAGCAUCCCAGAAGGCCACAGAAGGGCUGAAGAGCAGAGCCCACACCUGCUAUGGGUCACAAGAGGCCCUGGAGGCCAUGGAGGCUACAGGGGCCCAGGUGGGACUUGCAGAAUGAGAGUCCCAAGUAUAGAAUCCCUGGUGGGCACGGAGCAGAGACCAGGUCAGUGGGAGGGGUUGUCAGACCCUGUGGAGUGCCCCACCUGUGUGCCAGGCCCAGAACUGGGCUCAACUCUGAUGGUAGCAGGUGGAAAGUAGACUGCACUACUGUGGGGGUGGGGGCAUUCCUGGACACAGGGGGAAACCAGCUCACAGAACAGCCUGGGGUCUUCUUGCAGGAGGCCGUUUUGGCCCAGAUCCCAAAGGAAGAGUAGAAGCCUCAGGGGGCAGGUGAGAACAGGGACAAGAGAGGGCAGGUCUCAGGACUGACUGAGCAACCCAGACUGACCUGGAGCAAACUGUGGAGCCACAGAAGGGUUUAGAGUGUUGCUGCAGGACAGUGGGGUCUGCAAAGAUGCCUCUGGCUGCUAUCUGGAAAAUGGACAGGGGUGCUGGGCAGGGACUGGGCAGGGGUCUGGGCAGGGGCUGGACAGGGGUGCUGGGCAGGGUCAGUCCAUCUCCAUCCUGCUUUCCUUUUCUUUCUUUUCAACAAAUAUUGAUGGAGCACCUCCUCGGUGCCAGGCGCUGCUGCAGCCUCUAGGAAAUCAACCGUGGAAACACAUGGACCCUGCCCUCCCGGCGCCAAUGUCCUGGUGGUCAGGAGAGGUGAAGAAAACCAGCAAGAACCGGCACAGGAAUCCGAUGGCGGCAGCGCUGAGAGAAACAAGCUUGGAGGGGAAGGAGAGCUAGAGAGGCUGCAUGGAUGUGAUGGCUGGAGUGGAAGCUGACAUUUUGGGCCAGGAGACCCUGGGAGUACAGGCCAAGAUGAAAAGAGCCUCAAUCCAGAGCGUUUUGUGAAGCAGUCACCACAGCCACCCUGGGCCAUCAGCUUCUGGACUUUUACAACACAGAAAUUAAAUUUCCAUUGAAUUUGUUGGA